rnacentral:rRNA from 1 species
AACGAACGCUGGCGGCAGGCCUAACACAUGCAAGUCGAGCGCGCCCUUCGGGGUGAGCGGCGGACGGGUGAGUAACGCGUGGGAACGUGCCCUUUUCUACGGAAUAGCCUCGGGAAACUGAGAGUAAUACCGUAUACGCCCUUUGGGGGAAAGAUUUAUCGGAAAAGGAUCGGCCCGCGUUGGAUUAGGUAGUUGGUGGGGUAAUGGCCUACCAAGCCAACGAUCCAUAGCUGGUUUGAGAGGAUGAUCAGCCACACUGGGACUGAGACACGGCCCAGACUCCUACGGGAAGCAGCAGUGGGGAAUCUUAGACAAUGGGGGCAACCCUGAUCUAGCCAUGCCGCGUGAGUGAUGAAGGCCUUAGGGUUGUAAAGCUCUUUCAGCUGGGAAGAUAAUGACGGUACCAGCAGAAGAAGCCCCGGCUAACUCCGUG